ensembl:lncRNA
UUAUUAUUUUAAAGUAGAAAUAGAUUAUUAACAUUUAAAAUACGACUUAAAAAUCCUGUCAGAAGUUUUGUCAGGUUAGUUCAUAUUAAGGAGCUAGGUAGUAUUAGCAUUAAACUUAUUAAUCCUAUCAGGUUAACUCAUAUUAAGAAGCUGGGUAGUAUUAGCAUUUAACUUAUAAAUCCUGUCAGGUUAGCUCAUUAAGGAGCUAGGUAGUAUUAGCAUUUAACUUAUAAAUCCUGUCAGGUUAGCUCAUAUCAAUUAGCUAGCUAGUAUUAGCAUUUAACUUAUUAAUCCUGUCAGGUUAGCUCAUAUCAAGGAGCUAGCUAGUAUUAGCAUUUAACUUAUUAAUCCUGUCAGGUUAGCUCAUAUCAAGGAGCUAGCUAGUGUUAGCAUUUAAUUUAUAAAUCCUGUCAGGUUAGCUCAUGAGAGCCAUCUGGCUAUCUUUAGUAGUUUAACUUAUUAAACUGCCACAAGAUCACAUCCAUAUAGUGUUUUAUUCCUCUUAUACCACAACAAUUCUAACAAUUUCUUUCCAUUUAUAGUUACUUACCUUAUAGCAGCUAUAAACAGAGGUUACCUGUCCAGCCUCUUAUUUUCUCUCUCUUUUGAAGUUAAUAAGACAAAAAAAAAAGGCACCGUGUCAUCCUGUUAUCUUACCUCACGGGAAAAAAAAAACAACAACAACAACUGGGAAGUGCAAAGUUUUGCUUCCUGCACUGGAAGUAGUACUACUAGGGGCGGGGCUAGCAGAACUGAUCAUUGCUGAUUGGUUCUGCAGACCUGUUCACACAGUUUGUGAAGUCUGUAUAUUAUUCAGCUUUGUUUGUGACACUUUGUGGGUAUCGUUUUUACUGCGUUGACUUGUGUUAUUUUCAUUUCAUCACUUUUUCUGCCACAGAUUAAAAUAAAAAAUUAAACAAUGCGUAUGUUUUGUUUUUUCUUCUUCUUUUAUUUUUCAGUAUAAUGGCCCAAAUGAAGUCUUUUCAUGAGUAAAAUUGUGGCAGCUGGUUAAUCGGUCACCAAGACGACGGAUGUUAAUCCAAGCAGGUCUUCUACAUUGGUCGUUGUGACCAUUCCAGUUAUCAGCUGAGUGAAAAACGGACUAGAACCAGAAAUCCAGGUUCUAUCGGUUCAUCUUUGGGCCAGUUCUUGUAUAAAAACAUGUUCUCCGAGGAUGUUUGUAUUGAGGUUGUUCUCACCACUCGCUUGCUAUCCGAGAGCUUAAUCAGGACCAGAACAAAAAAAACAAACCCUUACCUAUGCUGACCAGGUGGACUCCAGGGAUGUG